AAUCCAUAGGUUAAUGAGGCGAACCGGGGGAACUGAAACAUCUAAGUACCCCGAGGAAAAGAAAUCAACCGAGAUUCCCCCAGUAGCGGCGAGCGAACGGGGAGGAGCCCAGAGCCUGAAUCAGCAUGUGUGUUAGUGGAAGCGUCUGGAAAGGCGCGCGAUACAGGGUGACAGCCCCGUACACAAAAGCGCAUGUGCUGUGAGCUCGAUGAGUAGGGCGGGACACGUGGUAUCCUGUCUGAAUAUGGGGGGACCAUCCUCCAAGGCUAAAUACUCCUGACUGACCGAUAGUGAACCAGUACCGUGAGGGAAAGGCGAAAAGAACCCCGGCGAGGGGAGUGAAAAAGAACCUGAAACCGUGUACGUACAAGCAGUGGGAGCACCCUUUGGGGUGUGACUGCGUACCUUUUGUAUAAUGGGUCAGCGACUUAUAUUCUGUAGCAAGGUUAACCGAAUAGGGGAGCCGGAGGGAAACCGAGUCUUAACCGGGCGUUAAGUUGCAGGGUAUAGACCCGAAACCCGGUGAUCUAGCCAUGGGCAGGUUGAAGGUUGGGUAACACUAACUGGAGGACCGAACCGACUAAUGUUGAAAAAUUAGCGGAUGACCUGUGGCUGGGGGUGAAAGGCCAAUCAAACCGGGAGAUAGCUGGUUCUCCCCGAAAGCUAUUUAGGUAGCGCCUCGUGAAUUCAUCUCCGGGGGUAGAGCACUGUUUCGGCUAGGGGGCCAUCCCGGCUUACCAACCCGAUGCAAACUGCGAAUACCGGAGAAUGUUAUCACGGGAGACACACGGCGGGUGCUAACGUCCGUCGUGAAGAGGGAAACAACCCAGACCGCCAGCUAAGGUCCCAAAGUCAUGGUUAAGUGGGAAACGAUGUGGGAAGGCCCAGACAGCCAGGAUGUUGGCUUAGAAGCAGCCAUCAUUUAAAGAAAGCGUAAUAGCUCACUGGUCGAGUCGGCCUGCGCGGAAGAUGUAACGGGGCUAAACCAUGCACCGAAGCUGCGGCAGCGACGCUGAUGCGUUGUUGGGUAGGGGAGCGUUCUGUAAGCCUGCGAAGGUGGCCUGUGAGGGUUGCUGGAGGUAUCAGAAGUGCGAAUGCUGACAUAAGUAACGAUAAAGCGGGUGAAAAGCCCGCUCGCCGGAAGACCAAGGGUUCCUGUCCAACGUUAAUCGGGGCAGGGUGAGUCGACCCCUAAGGCGAGGCCGAAAGGCGUAGUCGAUGGGAAACGGGUUAAUAUUCCCGUACUUGGUGUUACUGCGAAGGGGGGACGGAGAAGGCUAUGUUGGCCGGGCGACGGUUGUCCCGGUUUAAGCGUGUAGGUGUGUGUUCCAGGUAAAUCCGGUU
rnacentral:rRNA from 1 species